rnacentral:rRNA from 1 species
AGAGUUUGAUCCUGGCUCAGGACGAACGCUGACGGUGUGCUUUAGGCAUGCAAGUCGAACGAGAAAGCCCUUCGGGGUGAGUAAAGUGGCGAACGGGUGAGUAACACGUGGGCAACCUGCCCCUCGCAGGGGGACAACCGGAGGAAACUCCGGCUAAUACCCCGUACGCUUGUCGGAUCGCAUGGUCCGGCAAGGAAAGGUAGCUUCGGCCAUCCGGCGAGGGAUGGGCCCGCGUUGCAUUAGCUAGUUGGUAGGGUAACGGCCUACCAAGGCGACGAUGCGUAGCUGGUCUGAGAGGAUGAUCAGCCACACUGGGACUGAGACACGGCCCAGACUCCUACGGGAGGCAGCAGCCAGGAAUCUUGGGCAAUGGGCGAAAGCCUGACCCAGCAACACCGUGUGGGCGAUGAAGGCCUUAGGGUCGUAAAGCCCUGUUGAUAGGGACGAAGGGCGAAGGGUUAAUAGCCCCUAGCUUGACGGUACCUUUCGAGGAAGCCCCGGCUAACUACGUGCCAGCAGCCGCGGUAAUACGUAGGGGGCGAGCGUUGUCCGGAAUUAUUGGGCGUAAAGAGCGUGUAGGCGGUUCGGUAAGUCUGCUGUGAAAUCCUGGGGCUCAACCCUGGGCGUGCAGCGGAUACUGCCGGGCUAGAGGAUGGUAGAGGCGAGUGGAAUUCCGAGUGUAGCGGUGAAAUGCGCAGAUAUUCGGAGGAACACCAGUAGCGAAGGCGGCUCGCUGGGCCAUACCUGACGCUGAGNNGCGAAAGCGUGGGGAGCGAACAGGAUUAGAUACCCUAGUAGUCC